AGUUGAUUUGUGAACUUAGUUCUCAUGGCUCCAUUCUUUGGCCAUUGAAUAAAGCUUGUGCUGUUGAACACUCAGCUUUGGUUUCCUUUCAAAUCCAUGACACUGAACAGGAAAGAACCCUCCAAGGAAGGGACGGAUUGUGGGUAUGAGGCCCAUCCAUGGGCCCCUCCUUGGAGCUCCUCCAAAUGUGGGCCAGAGUCCCACUGGAGUGAGGUGAAAUUGGUAACAAAACUGCUAAAAAUGCAGGCUACAAAACCACCCAGUCUAGCUCCAGAGUCCAUGGUCUGAACCGCUGCACUGUAUUGCCUCGUACAGCGCUCUGUAACUCGAUUUUCUUAACUAUUUCAUGCGUAUUUUUCCAGGUUAAUAAAUAAUAGAUGAUUCAUUUUUUAAAAACUAGGUAACUUUCCAUAGCAUAGAUAACCUUAAUGUAUUUAGCUAUCCUCCCAAUCCUGUCACAAACGAUGCUGCAAUUGUUUUAUUGUUUUAAAACAUACAUCCUUAUGUAUUAGUGUAUUGAUUUCCAUUGAUUAGAUUCUGAAAGGUGGAGAAGAGCCAAUGAGUUUGGAUAUAUUUAGUUAUAAUAGCUACUGCUAGAUUAUUAUUAUUAUGAAAUUUUAAUUGUGAUAAAAUGCACAUUACAUAAAAUUUGCUAGAUUAUUUUUAUGAAAAAUUUGUAGCAAUUCACACUCCCACCACCAGUGUAUGAGAGGGAUCUGUCGACUUCCUCACCAGCACCACCCAUUCUUGUUUUCCUAAACUUGUGUCAAGCUGGUAGGUGAAUAUGGGUACUUCACUGUUGCUUUAAUUUGUAUUUCCAAGACUCCUAGUGGGACAGAGCACCACAUCAUCUAUUUAUUGGUCACUCACAUUCUUUGCCAAGAAAUCUGAAUUUUCAGUCUGAAGGGUUCAGAACUUUAAGCUAAAAGAAUAAAUUUUCACUUAGGAAUCUUCAAUCUGAAGCGUUCUGCACAUUAAAAGUAGGUAAAGGGAACAUGAAUGCCUAAGUGUAUGUUUAAAACGGGAGCUUUCUUGGCCUCCUUCGGUGCCCCUGAAACCAUUUAUUCUGCUUACACAUUAGCCUAGAACAGUGGAUGCUUUAACCGUGAAAGAAGUUAUCUCCCAUAUGGAUUUGGAAGCUGUAGAAAAAGUGGAAAAUGAAAGUGAUUUUGAGAUAUGGAGGAGUCACUGUACACGUUGAGUGUUGUCCUGUCAUCAUCGAAGAUUCUAAUCUGUGCAUUUCCAGAAUGCACUUCAGCCUACUGUUGUAAAGAGCCUUUCAAAGACAAAUUAGCUGCAAGAUGACUUUACAUUUUGUAGCUGUGAAAAGAGAAAAGAUGAGCGGCUCAGGGCCCGUUUGCAGCAAGGACAUAGCCGUCCGCUGGGAUGGCAUGGAAUCUGCUAUCCAUUUCUGGUCCUGAAUUGGGACUGUUAGAAAAGAAUCCCUCUGUAAAGUUAAGUGAAUUUCGUGAAGUUCUGGUUGACAAGGUAGAAGAGACUUGGGCCAAACUAAACAGUCAUUCCCAGGUGACGUUCAUGACUUGGAAGAGAGGGAGCAUACUUUCCCACCACCUUCUCUGCAGUGCGGCUUCUGUUGGAGCACAGGUGAGGUGUUGUGAGUAGGUGGACCUUGCCACUGGGACCCCCUACACAAAAGCGAAAUUCCAUCAGCCCAGCACUGAAGAGUUUUGUUUGUGUGGAGAGACAGUGCCCUACCUGUGAACCACAUUUUAAAAUGCAUUUUGAGGUUUGAGCUAAUAAUGUGAAUGACAUUCAGUGAGAUUGCCAAAUGCUGGUAAUUUACUCUCAUUUUCACAUUAAUGUGGGCCCACCUGUGAUGAAUUGGAAACUAAAUAAGCACAUCAG
rnacentral:lncRNA from 1 species